CAGUAGCCACGGUAAUACGUAGGGUGCGAGCGUUAAUCGGAAUUACUGGGCGUAAAGCGUGCGUAGGCGGUUCGUUAAGUCUGUUGUGAAAGCCCCGGGCUCAACCUGGGAAUGGCAAUGGAUACUGGCGAGCUAGAGUGUGUCAGAGGAUGGUGGAAUUCCCGGUGUAGCGGUGAAAUGCGUAGAUAUUGGGAAGAACACCGGUGGCGGAGGCGGCCAUCUGGGACAACACUGACGCUGAGGCACGAAAGCGUGGGGAGCAAACAGGAUUAGAUACCCGCGUAGUCCCUGUCUCUUAUAC
rnacentral:rRNA from 1 species